rnacentral:rRNA from 1 species
AACGAACGCUGGCGGCAGGCUUAACACAUGCAAGUCGAACGCCCCGCAAGGGGAGCGGCAGACGGGUGAGUAACGCGUGGGAACGUACCCUUCUCUACGGAAUAACACAGAGAAAUUUGUGCUAAUACCGUAUACGCCCUUUGGGGGAAAGAUUUAUCGGAGAAGGAUCGGCCCGCGUAGGAUUAGCUAGUUGGUGUGGUAACGGCGCACCAAGGCGACGAUCCUUAGCUGGUCUGAGAGGAUGACCAGCCACACUGGGACUGAGACACGGCCCAGACUCCUACGGGAGGCAGCAGUGGGGAAUAUUGGACAAUGGGCGCAAGCCUGAUCCAGCCAUGCCGCGUGAGUGAUGAAGGCCUUAGGGUUGUAAGGCUCUUUCACCCACGACGAUAAUGACGGUAGUGGGAGAAGAAGCCCCGGCUAACUUCGUGCCAGCCGCCGCUGUAACAC